CACAUGACUCUCGGCAACGGAUAUCUCGGCUCUCGCAUCGAUGAAGAACGUAGCGAAAUGCGAUACCUGGUGUGAAUUGCAGAAUCCCGCGAACCAUCGAGUCUUUGAACGCAAGUUGCGCCCGAGGCCACUCGGCUGAGGGCACGCCUGCCUGGGCGUCACGC
rnacentral:rRNA from 1 species